CUUAAUCGAGUGUCUAGGGAUGCUGACAGGUUUACUUUGAAAAAAUUAGAGUGCUCAAAGCAGGCUAUUACGCUUGAAUAUUAGUGCAUGGAAUAAUAGAAUAGGAAGUUGUUUCUAUUUUGUUGGUUUUCGGAAAUCGACUUAAUGAUUAAUAGGGACAGUCGGGGGCAUUUGUAUUCAAACGACAGAGGUGAAAUUCUUGGACCGUUUGAAGACAAACUACUGCGAAGGCAUUUGCCAAGAAUGUUUUCAUUAAUCAAGAACGAAAGUUAGAGGUUCGAAGGCGAUUAGAUACCGCCCUAGUUCUAACCAUAAACGAUGCCAGCUAGCGAUCUGAGGACGUUUUUUUUGUAGACUCCUCAGGAAGCUUCCGGGAAACCAAAGCGUGUGGGUUCCGGGGGAAGUAUGGUUGCAAAGCUGAAACUUAAAGGAAUUGACGGAAGGGCACCACCAGGAGUGGAGCCUGCGGCUUAAUUUGACUCAACACGGGAAAUCUCACCAGGCCCGGACACUGGAAGGAUUGACAGAUUGAGAGCUCUUUCUCGAUUCGGUGGGUGGUGGUGCAUGGCCGUUCUUAGUUGGUGGAGUGAUUUGUCUGGUUAAUUCCGAUAACGAACGAGACUCUGUCCUGCUAAAUAGUGUCAGCCUCUCUUUUGGGCUGACAAUUCUUCUUAGAGGGACUGGCGGCUCCUAGCCGCACGAGAUAGAGCAAUAACAGGUCUGUGAUGCCCUUAGAUGUUCUGGGCAGCACGCGCGCUACACUGAAUAGAUCAGCGUGUUCUCCCUUUCUGAGAAGAACGGGUAAACCGCUGAACCCUAUUCGUGGUAGGGAUCGGGGCUUGCAAUUAUUCCCCGUGAACCAGGAAUUCCCAGUAGGCGCGAGUCAUAAGCUCGCGUCGAUUACGUCCCUGCCCUUUGUACACACCGCCCGUCGCUACUACCGAUUGAACGUUUUAGUGAGGUCCACGGACUGUUUGCAGAGCGGAUUAUUCUGCCUUGCUGGCGGGAAG
rnacentral:rRNA from 1 species